GAUGAACGCUGGCGGCGUGCCUAAUACAUGCAAGUCGAGCGAACAGAUGAGGAGCUUGCUCCUCUGACGUUAGCGGCGGACGGGUGAGUAACACGUGGAUAACCUACCUAUACGACUGGGAUAACUUCGGGAAACCGGAGCUAAUACCGGAUAAUAUAUUGAACCGCAUGGUUCAAUAGUGAAAGACGGUUUUGCUGUCACUUAUAGAUGGAUCCGCGCCGCAUUAGCUAGUUGGUAAGGUAACGGCUUACCAAGGCAACGAUGCGUAGCCGACCUGAGAGGGUGAUCGGCCACACGGGAACUGAGACACGGUCCAGACUCCUACGGGAGGCAGCAGUAGGGAAUCUUCCGCGAUGGGCGAAAGCCUGACGGAGCAACGCCGCGUGAGUGAUGAAGGUCUUCGGAUCGUAAAACUCUGUUAUUAGGGAAGAACAAAUGUGUAAGUAACUAUGCACGUCUUGACGGUACCUAAUCAGAAAGCCACGGCUAACUACGUG
rnacentral:rRNA from 1 species